GCAGCGGCGCCUGGUGGAUGGACUCGUCCUGCAGCGGCGAGGUCAACGCCAUGUCCACCAGCGCCCGGAUCUCCUUCAGCACCACGUCCCAGCGGCUCGGGUUGUUCAGGACCUUCCGGUACUUGUAGAUCUUUUUCUGCAGGAGACACAGAGCAGCAGGUUCUCUGACUGACGGGGGCUCGUGGACAUGAAGCUUUUUCCUUCUCGGCACAAACUGAACCUGCCGGAGGCUCUGCAGAGAUGUGGCAGCAGGAAGAAAGUGUCUCAGCGUCGGUGUGAAGGAAGCACAGCUCGGCCUGGAUGUGGCGUCACCGCACGCGUGUGGUUACACAGCUCGCACAAAAGGAAAGGAGCUGGUUCACAUGCUCACGGGCUGUCGCAGGAACUGUUGUGUGAUUGUCCACGUCCGGGUUAGACUCAGGUCUCAUCCACACAACUGCAUUUUAGUUUGAAAAUACACAAACAGAGAUCGUGUGUGUGUCCAUCUCCUGUGUGUGUUCAUUACGUGUGU